UAAUUCAUUUUUGUGAAUUUGAGGGGUCUCGUUAAGAGGAGCUGCUAGCUAGGCUAUGUGUCCCAUUCAAUCCUAUGGGAAAAGAUCGCAGCUACACUUUCGGCAUAACUAUUGUAUAUUUACACUUUGA